ensembl:lncRNA
GGUAGGCCCAGGUUCUCCAGGGUAGGCCCAGGUCCUCCAGAGCAGUAGACCCCAGUCCUCCCAGGUAGGCCCAGGUCCUCCAGGGUAGGCCUGGGUCCUCCAGAGUAGCCUCAGGUUCUCCAGAGCAGCAGACUCCAGUUCUCCAGGGUAGGCCCAGGUCCUCCAGGGCAGUAGACCCCAGUCCUCCCAGGUAGGCUGAGGUUCUCCAAGGUAGGCCCAGGUCCUCCAGGGCAGUAGAUCCCAGUCCU